GUACAUGACUACAUCAUAGUGUUAAUAAAUCAAAUCCCAUUAGAACUCCAUGGUUGAGUGUGUUUGAGCUAGAUUGGUAUUGGGAAGGGUGACCACCUGGGAAGUCCUAGUGUUUUACAUU
rnacentral:rRNA from 1 species